UACGUAGGGGGCAAGCGUUGUCCGGAUUUAUUGGGCGUAAAGAGCGUGUAGGCGGCCUGAAAGGUCAGCUGUGAAAACUCGAGGCUCAACCUCGAGACGUCGGUUGAAACCAUCUGGCUAGAGUCCGGAAGAGGAGUGUGGAAUUCCCGGUGUAGCGGUGAAAUGCGCAGAUAUCGGGAGGAACACCCGUGGCGAAAGCGGCUCUCUGGGACGGUACUGACGCUGAGACGCGAAAGCGUGGGGAGGCAAACAGG
rnacentral:rRNA from 1 species